rnacentral:lncRNA from 1 species
UUGGGGGAUAUUUUCAAGGCAAAUGGUUCUCUUCUUAUUGGCCUGUUAAUUUACCUACUUUAACUGAAAAUUCGUCUAUGGCGUUCCUUGAGUUAUACCCUAUUGUAGUAGCAGCAUUGUUAUGGGGCCACCUCUGGCCCUGUAAAAAGAUAUUAUUUUGGUGUGAUAAUGAAGCUACUGUUGCUAUUGUCAGAAAGGGACGCUCUAAAUGUUUAGAAAUUAUGAAACUUAUGCGUCAAUU